rnacentral:tRNA from 1 species
GCGGAAAUAGCUCAGUUGGUAGAGCAUAACCUUGCCAAGGUUGGGGUCGCGGGUCCGAGUCCCGUUUUCCGCU